rnacentral:rRNA from 1 species
GACGGAGGGUGCGAGCGUUGUUCGGAAUUACUGGGCGUAAAGCGCGCGCAGGCGGGUGCGCAAGUCGGAGGUGAAAGCGCGGGGCUCAACCCUGCGACGCCCUCCGAGACUGCGUGUCUGGGGACCAGUAGAGGCGAGUGGAAUUCCCGGUGUAGCGGUGGAAUGCGUAGAUAUCGGGAAGAACACCGGAGGCGAAGGCGGCUCGCUGGGCUGGAUCCGACGCUGAGGCGCGAAAGCGUGGGGAGCAAACAGG